UGCCUCGUUAAAGAAUUAAAACAGGCACAACUUCUUAGGUGUCUGAAUUAAGCAACGUGGCUAAAGAAAUAACAGGUUAUGCUUCCAUCACUGUAAAAUUUAAUUACAGUGGUGACAAUGAGACCUGUAACAAGC
rfam:Alligator mississippiensis ScZkoYb_298, whole genome shotgun sequence.